CCACAUCUUCAGCUAUUUUGCAGCGGUAACUUUACUCAUAUCAUUUAUUGAUUGUGAAUUACAAUUUCUGCGACGUAUCUCAGACACAUUUUAUUUUUCGACCGCCACUUUCAUUUAUGCGCUCAUACUCUAUGAAGGUAAAAUAUUUUUCCUUUAUCGCAUGAUCGCAGUGACGCGCACGCACGUAGACGCUGCUUACUUUGACGAAUGAGUUGUCCUCCAUCUUUUGUGUCAGAAUUCAGGGGCGAAUAUUCAAAGGGAUGACGAGGAUUAUAAAUUAUUUAGAAAUCGCAACCAAAUGUCAAUAACAAUGAUUCGACGUAGUCCUACGCAAAUCCACCUGAAGCUUGAUGAUCUACAGGAAUUCGAAGCGUUGAGGAAAGAACGUGAGGCGAAGAAGGAAGCAGACAAACUGGCGGGUUUUAUCAAUUCACCGUGUUGGGGGAAAAUUCCACAGUCAGAGAUUCAGGAGCGUAUCGGCUACGUUCCCCAACCGUCAAUGCAAGCACCCCAUACUCGCCCGCCUAAUUUAUAAAAAGUUGAACAACGAAUUCAUUAGCGAUAGUUCGUCUUAUACAUUUAUGGCUCGAUACCCGGUGUUCAUAAAAUAAUUGCAAGGGGGUGAAGUUUCAAAAAUAAAUUGUUUUUUAAUAUUUAUUGUCAAAAUAUACCCAACUGAUGAUAACGAUGAUCAUAAAAAUGUUUAUUCGGUUAUCUCUAGUUUAUGCAUGUAUAAUAAGUCGCAAAGCUGUCGUAACGUGACGAAAUGCACUUAUGGACGUCUCUUCCGAGAUCAAGUCGAAGAAUAUACGCUCUUUCAAAUUCAGUCAAGUUGCAGUUGAAUUCCGACAUUUGAUAACAAUACCUAGGUUUGUUUAUUCGUAUCGCCUCAUUAUUCGUAUAUCCUGUAAUAGUCACGAACUUUUUCCUAAAAGAUUAGAGUUACUUAUUGUAAUUUUGAUAGAAAUUAUUCCAAUCUAAAAGAUUAGACGAGCUCGGUUGUACAGUGAUUUCGGAGAACACCUAUAAUCCUUUGUUGAAAUAAAGUACAGCCGGAAGUGUACCAUCUUCACAAUUCUUUCGGAGUUCCUCAUAAUUUUCGGGCUCCCAUCGCUUGAGCGUACUCACCGCAAUAGCACUGCAACGUACACCAAAAAU
rnacentral:misc_RNA from 1 species